rnacentral:ribozyme from 12 species
UACAUCUCCAACAACAAACACAGAAAGAAGGAGAAAGAGAAAUGCAGAGAGACAACGGGAGGCAAUCAUUUUUGUUGUUGUUCUUUUUUGUUUUGGACCUUGUUGUUGUUUUAUCCUUUUUUCUU